CCUUAAUGGAUGGAGCAGGCUGGGAUGUCUACAGCUAACUUAAUAAAGGAGUUAAUACAAUUUGUUAUCGAAGUCACUGAAGAGGAGAGGAAAAAAUUUGAUGACAAUGACGUGGAUGGAGAGACUGUUGACAUCGGAAUGACUGAGUCUAUGAUUUCAUUCCUCUUUGAGGGAUCAUUUAAAAAAACAAGCAAAAUUCCAUGGAUUUGUUCAGCAGAUGAAGGAGACAGUGACAUUAACUCUUGAACCUGUGCCUGAAAGCCAGUCAAGAGCUGGAGCAAGUAAUAUCAGCCCGUCAACAGCUUUCCCUGAAUUUUUUGAAGUUCUGAAGUUCCCAUUUGAAGUUCAGGCCAAGUUGGACCGAAAAGAAUGCAGACUAACGUCAUCAGACCGAAACAAAAUUAUUAGAACGUUGUAUGAAAGCGUGGCUCAGUACAAAAUGUAAGUAUUUCUCAUUACCUGUACCUGUUUUAAUCGCUUUCAUUCAAUUUUAUACAACAUUUAAUGCUACACUCAUGUGUUUUAAAUAUUUUUGUAGGUAUCUAACUACAGAAGAGUAUGUUCAAGUGGCUAAGGCCCUGACUCUGAGCACACUUGGCACGUCUCUGAAACGCAAGUUUAAAUUUGAGCGGACACCUUUGGCUGAUGUUGAAGAAGUGAAAAGACUUUGGUCAUUCAAAAAAAGUCUGCAACCUGAAGAAAGCAGUUGCAAAGAAAUUACAAGGCCUUUGGAGAAUAAUGCUGUUGGAGAGGAUGCUACAUCAAUAGAGGGACAUGUGAAAGUCCUGCAGGACCAAUAUAGAAGGACACAGUCAGAGACUCACAUUGUUGAAUAUCGAAUGAGGAGGAACUUUGCCUGGAGGCGGCAGGAGAUUACUAGUGGUAUGACUGUUGAAGAUGUCAACAAAUAUCCAUCAGGGCCUUAUCAAGAAAUUGGUUUCCUGUAUAAAUGUGUUCAACUGAGCCGCCACUUUCGAGAACAUUUUGGACACAUUACAUCCAGCGUGCUACGGCUUGCUCAAGGGAAAUCCCCUUUAGCAAAGCUGCACAAAGAAGCUAGAGAAGAAUCUCUCAUUGAAGACCAUCUUGUGACUCCUAAACUUUUAUUUAGCACUUUAUUAAGCCUAUCAAAUUCUUGCCUUUGAUAGAGUUUUACAUAUUUGUUUGUGUAUCACAUUUUAUGUUCCAGGAAUUGAUUUUAAAGCAGCACUUCUCGUGUUGCCAGCCUUGUUCAGAGAAAAACUUGAACAUUUCAUUGUGCUUGGAGAGGUGCGUAUAUAGUACUCUGUUUUAAAUUUCUGUGCAAUUCUUAAACUGUUUUUUGGCCAAAUGCAAAUGGGUGAAUAUUAAUUAUCUUAGUCUUUAUGCAUGUCAAUUUUCUCUCCAUCAGUUUAGUCAACUGCUGAGAAAAUUUUACUGAUACAGAAUCUGUUUUUUGCUUUGUCAUUUAGAGUGAACCAUCUUCACCAUAUCAUACUGUUCAAGUAGAGGAGACCACUGACUGGAAAACUGUGUUUACAAGAAGAGUCACUGCAGUCAUCAGAGUUGAUGGGAUCGAGAUAGACGAACGGUGUGGAUGAAGGGGCUCUUGCAGCAUUUUGUGCUUAUUUCGUCUUCAAUUUGACAUAUCCAUCCCAUUUGAAGAACACCCUGGUGUUUCUUCAGUGGUAUGUUUUGAGAGUUACUGUGGAUGGUGACAAGCCUCUACCUACCCCAGUUACCAGAAUAAUCAACCUUCUUAACUCAACAUUCUUAACAUAGACACAGACUGGUUAUUGUGUGGCAAGCUUUUAAUUCCUGGGGUUUUUUUGUCGUCAUUUUUACUCAUACUGUGUGAAAUGAGAAUGAAUGGACUGUCCUCUUGCCAGGUGAAGAGGUUGAUUACCAGGCAUUAGAUACCUACAAUGUUGAUGACAAGUUAUUUAUUAGCACUAGAUAUUCUUGCUGAAGACAAACUGCUGCAAACUUCAAAAUGUGCAGUACUUGAUGUAGCCUGUGUAAUAAGGCUGCUUUACUUGUUUGAGUUUUUCAUUGAAGAGCUAGUUUUUUCUUGACACGCUGUUGUGAGAUGUAAUGAAAUCUUUUUAAAAGAACAUUUCUAAAUAAAAUUGUGUAUUUGUCAGCCA
ensembl:lncRNA